rnacentral:rRNA from 1 species
ACAUCCAGAGAAUUUAGCAGAGAUGCUUUAGUGCCUUCGGGAACUCUGAGACAGGUGCUGCAUGGCUGUCGUCAGCUCGUGUUGUGAAAUGUUGGGUUAAGUCCCGCAACGAGCGCAACCCUUAUCCUUUGUUGCCAGCACGUAAUGGUGGGAACUCAAAGGAGACUGCCGGUGAUAAACCGGAGGAAGGUGGGGAUGACGUCAAGUCAUCAUGGCCCUUACGAGUAGGGCUACACACGUGCUACAAUGGCGCAUACAAAGAGAAGCGACCUCGCGAGAGCAAGCGGACCUCAUAAAGUGCGUCGUAGUCCGGAUUGGAGUCUGCAACUCGACUUCAUGAAGUCGGAAUCGCUAGUAAUCGUAAAUCAGAAUGUUACGGUGAAUACGUUCCCGGGCCUUGUACACACCGCCCGUCACACCAUGGGAGUGGGUUGCAAAAGAAGUAGAUAGCUUAACCUUCGGGAGGGCGUUUACCACUUUGUGAUUCAUGACUGGGGUGAAGUCGUAACAAGGUAAGCGUAGUGCU